rnacentral:rRNA from 1 species
GUGACCUCAAAUCAGGUAGGACUACCCGCUGAACUUAAGCAUAUCAAUAAGCGGAGGAAAAGAAACUAACAAGGAUUCCCCUAGUAACUGCGAGUGAAGCGGGAAAAGCUCAAAUUUAAAAUCUGGCGGCCUUUUGGCUGUCCGAGUUGUAAUCUAGAGAAGUGUUAUCCGCGCUGGACCGUGUACAAGUCUCCUGGAAUGGAGCAUCAUAGAGGGUGAGAAUCCCGUCUUUGACAUGGACUGCCAGGGCUUUGUGAUGCGCUCUCAAAGAGUCGAGUUGUUUGGGAAUGCAGCUCAAAAUGGGUGGUAAAUUCCAUCUAAAGCUAAAUAUUGGCGAGAGACCGAUAGCGAACAAGUACCGUGAGGGAAAGAUGAAAAGAACUUUGGAAAGAGAGUUAAACAGUACGUGAAAUUGCUGAAAGGGAAACGCUUGAAGUCCGUCAUGUCAUCCAGGGAUCAACCUUGCUUUUGCUUGGUGCACUUCCUGGUUUGACGGGCCAGCAUCAAUUUUGACCGUUGGAAAAAGGCUAGGGGAAUGUGGCAUCUCUGGAUGUGUUAUAGCCCUUGGUCACAUACAAUGGUUGGGAUUGAGGAACUCAGCACGCCGCAAGGCCGGGUGUUCGCACCACGUACGUGCUUAGGAUGCUGC